rnacentral:misc_RNA from 1 species
CGAGGGCGUCAUCGGCGACCGGCUGACCAUCCGGCGCCUGCAGAAGCGCGCCUGGAAGCGGCGCAGCGGCGACGCCGGGUACCCGUUCGGCCACCGCAAGCACAACAAGGAAGUCAGUUUCGACGUUGAAAAUGGCGGCGUCCAGGGGCGCGCGGACGGCUCGCCCUCCACCGGCCUGGUGCUCCAAAGCCUGCCACAGCGCCGGGAGUCGUUCAUCUACAAGUCCGACUCAGACUUCGAGAUGUCGCCCAAGACAAUGUCGCGCAACUCGAGUAUCGCUAGCGACGGGUGAGUACGGUGCGACUUCCGAUCGGUGAUCUUCGCGUUCACGGGCGGACGGCUCCACUUCGAGGUGGUCCCCCUGGGAGGCGUUGCUCCAGGCCCUCAUUACCCGAACUUUGAAGCCUUAAGUGGAUUGCAUGGGGACCGAUGUGGGGGUUGCGUCCGGGAAACUCUGUACGGCCAUGGCAGCUUGAGCCAAUGUUUCCAGCUCACUCUACUGGUAAGUUGGUAAUCGUAACUUGCGGUCAUGGGCCAGAUGAAACUUGUUGGGGCUGAUAUACUGGACUUUGGUUGAGUGGGAAAGUUGGGCGGUCGGCCAUCCCGCGUGAAACAUCCUGAAAUGUUGGAGAGGAUGGAAAAUCGUGGCAGCCAAUGGUGCUCUAAGCCCGAUAUUGAUUUUACGUGCCACGGGGUGCGAUAUUGAUCAGGUAAGUGUGCGUGUGCAUUAUUGACUAUUAAUUUCUUAUGGGCUCAGUCCUAAAUGCACUUACGGGGAGUAACUUAGCCAGAUGGCUGCUACCAUCGCUCUGAAAUUAUGCAUCGCCAGGUGCCAGCAGAUCCAGCACCGAGAGCGAACACCAGAGUAAAACGGAGUGCACUGAUGACGAUUAUGUCUGUGGAUAGAUCCAGUGCCAUUUGAUUCCGACUAUGAUUGCAUUCAUUACAUUAAUGCCAUCGGGUAUCUGUAGUACAGCCCAGGGAUUGCAUAGUUCACUGAAUAAAGCCUCUGUGCACUUUGCACGACACAUUUAGCUGAUUGCUGAUGAGGCGCGACCCCAUUCCGAGCGCGACAUACUCCGCGUGAUUGCUGGUGAUCCGUCCGUGUCGCUUUAACAAGUGACGGCUCGG